UACGGAGGGUGCAAGCGUUAAUCGGAAUUACUGGGCGUAAAGCGCACGCAGGCGGUUUGUUAAGUCAGAUGUGAAAUCCCCGGGCUGAACCUGGGAAAUGCAUCUGAUACUGGUCAGCUUGAGUCUUGUAGAGGGGGGUAGAAUUCCAGGUGUAGCGGUGAAAUGCGUAGAGAUGUGGAGGAAUACCGGUGGCGAAGGCGGCCCCCUGGACAAAGACUGACGCUCAGGUGCGAGAGCGUGGGGAGCAAACAGG
rnacentral:rRNA from 1 species